GAUGAUCUAUACAAUAUAAAUUUUCAAUCCAGCAGUAAAUUUCGUAAAAUUCAUAUUCGAUAGAUCAUUUGUUCACGAUAAACCACUUGUAAAGAUGGUCCACCGUAGCGUUAGCCUAAAUAAUUAUAAUCUUGAAAGCAAAUUUGCCAAAAAAAAUUGAAGACUUGAGGGUAGAUACACCAACCAGCCGUAUCAUUGAUAAGAAUCAAUAUUCUUGUUUUCUUGUGUGUGAUUAAAUAAUGGGACCUACCCAAGUGGCCCAAUAGUCCACUUUUUAUUUUCAAUCACUUAUUUUUUGUCUUUUUGGUUAAAAAAAUCUGUUGAUUACUUUUGUGUUAGAAGGAAACUUAAUUACGUCUGUGUAUAUACGACACAUUAUCGCUAAUCCAAUCCAAUCCAAUUCAAUAUGAAGCAUUUGUUUUUUACUUAUUUAUAGUUUUGGUCAAGUUAUUGUACUAGUACUAAUUCUAUAGUACUUUAUUCUAUUAGUUGAUAAUUUUUUACAUGUGGUGUAAUGACUGACUUUAUAGCUUUAUGAAUGAAUGAAAUUUUCUCGACAAAAAAAAAUCAAUAUGUUUGUUUUAUGAGUUUUAUGUUAAGUAAAAUACUUUGAGGUCAAAGAAUCAUUUCAUUAGCUUGAUUUAUUAACAUUACACGACACUAAGUUAACGUUUCGGAUAUGAAUUCUGCAUAGAAGAUUUUUUUUUGGGAGGUAGCUUGUAUUGGUUAUCAUUUUUUUAGGUUCACUGGUCAGGAAAGAUACAACACAAUCACAUGGAGUUCAUUGGGAAGACUAGCAUUCCUUAUAUAUCAAGAAUAAUGUCACUUUCCAUGUAUUUUUAAAAUAUUAAGUGUGUCAAUUGGAUAAUUUGAUUCAAAAUAAUAUAAC
rnacentral:lncRNA from 1 species